GCCGCUUUAGCUCAGUUGGUAGAGCACCGCAUUCGUAAUGCAGGGUUCGCGUGUUCGAGUCAUGCAAGCGGCACCA
rnacentral:tRNA from 1 species